rnacentral:tRNA from 1 species
AGCCGGGUCGUCUAGCGGCCAAGGAUGGCGGGCUUUGGACCCGUUGACCCCGGUUCGAAUCCGGGCCCGGCUA